UUUCUCACCGCCAGAUUCUUGAAUUGAACAUAUGCUUGCUCUGUUAAUGAAAUUUCAGUAGACCUGUUGCAAGAAGAGGCAUGCAUUUCUGCUGUUACCAUGAGAAGAACAUGCCCCAGCUGCAGCCAGAUCACAGGAAAGGAUUAAGAAACAUGUGGAACUGAGCUAAACCCAGUCAUGUCCGUCUAGAUUAGCUGACCUUUCAGCUGUGCCAGGAUGUGUGAACGAACAAAGCUGAAGCCAGAGAAUCACCAAAUGUAACUCAGCCUUGAUCAGCCUAUCCUCAGGCUUAUGAUCCUCAGCUUAUCUGCAUACUUGUGAAAAAUGCACCAUUGUCUAAGCUGGAUAGCUGAGAAAUACUGACUAUAGAAAGAUUUUUAUGAUUGACCAAAUGGUAGGUUUUUCUAUCAACUCUAUCUAGCAUUGUGUUCAGGGCUCUCCUUUAAUAGGUGGUUGUAUGAUUGAUGCCCAUAAAAUCUAAGUAACAAUAGAAAGUCUUCUCUGGAAAAAAAAAAUCAACUUAUGAUUAACCGAAGAUCAAGAAUAUAGGCAAAGAA
rnacentral:lncRNA from 1 species